GGGGUUAUAGCUCAGUAGUAGAGCACAUGCUUAGCAUGCAUGAAAUCUGGGGUUCAAUUCCCCAGUACCUCCA
rnacentral:tRNA from 1 species